rnacentral:rRNA from 1 species
UACGUAGGGUGCGAGCGUUAAUCGGAAUUACUGGGCGUAAAGCGUGCGCAGGCGGUUGGCAAAGUCAGCUGUGAAAGCCCCGGGCUUAACCUGGGAAUGGCGGUUGAAACUAGUCGACUAGAAUCUGGCAGAGGGGGGUGGGAAUUCCACGGUGUAGCAGUGGAAAUGCGUAGGAGAAUGGUGGAGGAACACCGAUGGCGGAAGGGACAGCCCCCUGGG